GAUGAACGCUGGCGGCGUGCCUAAUACAUGCAAGUCGAGCGGUAAGGCCCUUCGGGGUACACGAGUGGCGAACGGGUGAGUAACACGUGGGUGAUCUGCCCUGCACUUCGGGAUAAGCCUGGGAAACUGGGUCUAAUACCGGAUAGGACUCCGAAUCGCAUGGUUUGGGGUGGAAAGCUUUUGCGGUGUGGGAUGGGCCCGCGGCCUAUCAGCUUGUUGGUGGGGUGAUGGCCUACCAAGGCGACGACGGGUAGCCGGCCUGAGAGGGUGUCCGGCCACACUGGGACUGAGAUACGGCCCAGACUCCUACGGGAGGCAGCAGUGGGGAAUAUUGCACAAUGGGCGCAAGCCUGAUGCAGCGACGCCGCGUGAGGGAUGACGGCCUCGGUU
rnacentral:rRNA from 1 species